rnacentral:rRNA from 1 species
AGAGUUUGAUCCUGGCUCAGGAUGAACGCUAGCGACAGGCCUAACACAUGCAAGUCGAGGGGUAUCGUAGCAAUACGGGAGACCGGCGCACGGGUGAGUAACGCGUAUGCAACCUACCCGUUACAGGGGGAUAGCUUCCGGAAACGGAAAUUAAUACCGCAUAAGACAAUAGUGCCGCAUGGCACGGUUGUUAAAUAUUCAUAGGUAACGGAUGGGCAUGCGUGGCAUUAGGUAGUUGGCGGGGUAACGGCCCACCAAGCCUUCGAUGCCUAGGGGUUCUGAGAGGAAGGUCCCCCACACUGGUACUGAGACACGGACCAGACUCCUACGGGAGGCAGCAGUGAGGAAUAUUGGUCAAUGGGCGAGAGCCUGAACCAGCCAUGUCGCGUGCAGGACGACGGCCCUACGGGUUGUAAACUGCUUUUGUACGGGAAGAAAAAAGGUUACGUGUAACCUCUUGCCGGUACCGUACGAAUAAGGAUCGGCUAACUCCGUGCCAGCAGCCGCGGUAAUACGGAGGAUCCGAGCGUUAUCCGGAUUUAUUGGGUUUAAAGGGUGCGUAGGCGGGCCUUUAAGUCGGCGGUGAAAGUUUGGCGCUCAACGUUAAAAUUGCCGUUGAUACUGGAGGCCUUGAGUGCGGUUGAGGUAGGCGGAAUGUGGUGUGUAGCGGUGAAAUGCUUAGAUAUGCCACAGAACACCGAUUGCGUAGGCAGCUUACUAAAGCGCAACUGACGCUGAGGCACGAAAGCGUGGGGAUCGAACAGGAUUAGAUACCCUGGUAGUCCACGCCGUAAACGAUGAUCACUCGCUGUGCGCGAUACACUGCGCGCGGCCAAGCGAAAGCGAUAAGUGAUCCACCUGGGGAGUACGUUCGCAAGAAUGAAACUCAAAGGAAUUGACGG